rnacentral:rRNA from 1 species
UACGGGGGGAGCAAGCGUUGUUCGGAUUUACUGGGCGUAAAGGGCGCGUAUGCGGCGUGACAAGUCACUUGUGAAAUCUCCGGGCUUAACUCGGAACGGUCAAGUGAUACUGUCGUGCUAGAGUACAGAAGGGGCAACUGGAAUUCUCGGUGUAGCGGUGAAAUGCGUAGAUAUCGAGAGGAACACCUGCGGCGAAGGCGGGUUGCUGGGCUGAUACUGACGCUGAGGCGCGAAAGCCAGGGGAGCGAACGGG